rnacentral:rRNA from 1 species
AGUGAACGCUGGCGGUAGGCCUAACACAUGCAAGUCGAACGGCAGCACAGGAGAGCUUGCUCUCUGGGUGGCGAGUGGCGGACGGGUGAGGAAUACAUCGGAAUCUGCCCAGUCGUGGGGGAUAACGUAGGGAAACUUACGCUAAUACCGCAUACGACCUUCGGGUGAAAGAGGGGGAUCGCAAGACCUCUCGCGAUUGGAUGAGCCGAUGUCGGAUUAGCUAGUUGGCGGGGUAAUGGCCCACCAAGGCGACGAUCCGUAGCUGGUCUGAGAGGAUGAUCAGCCACACUGGAACUGAGACACGGUCCAGACUCCUACGGGAGGCAGCAGUGGGGAAUAUUGGACAAUGGGCGCAAGCCUGAUCCAGCCAUACCGCGUGGGUGAAGAAGGCCUUCGGGUUGUAAAGCCCUUUUGUUGGGAAAGAAAUCUUUCAGGCUAAUACCCUGGGAGGAUGACGGUAUCCAAAGAAUAAGCACCGGCUAACUUCGUG